CCUACGGGUGGCAGCAGUGGGGGAUAUUGCACAAUGGGGGAAACCCUGAUGCAGCGACGCCGCGUGAGUGAAGAAGUAUUUCGGUAUGUAAAGCUCUAUCAGCAGGGAAGAAAAUGACAGUACCUGACUAAGAAGCCCCGGCUAACUACGUGCCAGCAGCCGCGGUAAUACGUAGGGGGCAAGCGUUAUCCGGAUUUACUGGGUGUAAAGGGAGCGUAGACGGUUAUGUAAGUCUGGAGUGAAAGCCCGGGGCUCAACCCCGGGACUGCUUUGGAAACUGUGUAACUGGAGUUCAGGAGGGGCAAGCGGAAUUCCUAGUGUAGCGGUGAAAUGCGUAGAUAUCAGGAGGAACACCGGCGGCGAAGGCGGCCUGCUGGACUGUAACUGACGUUGAGGCUCGAAAGCGUGGGGAGCAAACAGGAUUAGAUACCCUGGUAGUC
rnacentral:rRNA from 1 species